CUAUACAUGACUCUGCGCAUAUCAAUAAGCGGAGGAAAAGAAACUAACAAGGAUUCCCCUAGUAACGGCGAGUGAAGCGGGAAGAGCUCAAAUUUGAAAUCUUAAAGGGUUUCCCUUUACGAAUUGUAGUUUAAAGAAGUGUUUUCUGUUGAGGUUUUGGUAAGAGUUCUUUGGAAUAGGACAUCAUAGAGGGUGAGAAUCCCGUAUUUGACCUUACUUUCAACUUUGUGAUACACUUUCAAAGAGUCGGAUUGUUUGGGAAUGCAGUCCAAAAUGGGUGGUAAAUUUCAUCUAAAGCUAAAUAUUGGCGAGAGACCGAUAGCGAACAAGUACCGUGAGGGAAAGAUGAAAAGAACUUUGAAAAGAGAGAUUAAACAGUACGUGAAAUUGUCAAAAGGGAAGCGUUUGACACCAUGUGUUGUUUUUCUGAAAAUCAAUUAAAGAACUGUUUAUGCUAAGUUGUUUAGACUUUAUCAGCUAACUGUUUAGUUUUGAGCUUUUCUUUAAUGCACUUUUCAGUUAACAAGUCAACAUCAAUUUCUUUUGCUGUAAAAAAGCUUGAGGAAGGUGGCUUGAGAUUCGUCUUAAGCGUUUAUAGCCUCUUGCCUAUGCAGUCGGAGAGAUUGAGGUCUGCAGCGUAGAUCCUUCGGGGCUAAAUGCAUUUGUGCUAAGUUAUAGCAUUUUAUAGACAACUUGUUGACUAUGAUUUGUCUUGUAGCUUACUCGCUUAUGUUAUUUUACCUACGCUUAGGAUGUUGAGCGCAUGUCUCUCUCU
rnacentral:rRNA from 1 species